rnacentral:tRNA from 1 species
UCCCUGGGGGACGAGUGGUUAGGCCUUGGCGCUCUCGCCGCCACAGCCCAGGUUCGAUUCCCGGCCAGGGAA